UACGUAGGGUGCAAGCGUUGUCCGGAAUUAUUGGGCGUAAAGAGCUCGUAGGCGGUCUGUCGCGUCGGAUGUGAAAAUCCAGGGCUCAACCCUGGACCUGCAUUCGAUACGGGCAGACUAGAGUUCGGCAGGGGAGGCUGGAAUUCCUGGUGUAGCGGUGAAAUGCGCAGAUAUCAGGAGGAACACCGGUGGCGAAGGCGGGUCUCUGGGCCGAUACUGACGCUGAGGAGCGAAAGCGUGGGGAGCGAACAGG
rnacentral:rRNA from 1 species